rnacentral:rRNA from 1 species
GACAGAGGCCUCGAGCGUUAGGCGGAAUCACUGGGCUUAAAGCGUGUGUAGGCGGAAGCGUAAGUACCUUGUGAAAUCCCACGGCUCAACCGUGGAACUGCUGGGUAUACUGCGUUUCUUGAGCCAUUUAGGGGCGAGUGGAACGGAUGGUGGAGCGGUGAAAUGCGUAGAUAUCAUCUGGAACGCCAAUGGUGAAAGCAGCUUUCUGGGACGGUACUGACGCUGAGACGCGAAAGCGUGGGGAGCGAACAGG